rnacentral:rRNA from 1 species
CCUACGGGCGGCAGCAGUGGGGAAUAUUGGACAAUGGGGGGAACCCUGAUCCAGCCAUGCCGCGUGUGUGAAGAGGGCCCUCGGGUUGUAAAGCACUUUCAGUGAGGAAGAACGCCUGGUGGUUAAUACCCAUCAGGAAAGACAUCACUCACAGAAGAAGCACCGGCUAACUCCGUGCCAGCAGCCGCGGUAAUACGGAGGGUGCGAGCGUUAAUCGGAAUUACUGGGCGUAAAGCGCGCGUAGGUGGCUUGAUAAGCCGGUUGUGAAAGCCCCGGGCUCAACCUGGGAACGGCAUCCGGAACUGUCAAGCUAGAGUGCAGGAGAGGAAGGUAGAAUUCCCGGUGUAGCGGUGAAAUGCGUAGAGAUCGGGAGGAAUACCAGUGGCGAAGGCGGCCUUCUGGACUGACACUGACACUGAGGUGCGAAAGCGUGGGUAGCAAACAGGAUUAGAUACCCUGGUAGUC